CCAGCCUCUAAUUUUCUUGAGGUCUAUGACCAAUGCAGGCCUUUUCUGGACAUGAGAUAUGGGACAGGCAGGCUUUGACAUAUGUGGAUAAAAAUGACCAUGAGAUCUCCAUGAAUUAGAUUAAGAAGGUGAAACGAAGCUCCUGGAAGCAGAGGGCCUUUGUAGCUUGGGGCAAUAUGAGCAACGGUAGGGAAUGGAUAUCAACAGGGGAUAGGGCCAGUGUCCUUAAGCUGUUUAUGAUUGAGGCAAGAUAUUGCGACCAGAUGAAAGGGAAGGAGGUGAGCUGGAGCCCCCAGGGUGCAGGAGCAAGCAUGUGGUAAGUGUGAGCCCAGGGGCAGAGCCAGGCCUGCGGGGUGGAAAUCACCCAGGGCCUUAGAGGGGAGAGAGCUUCUUGUCUCUUCAGUAGUUGUCUGUGGGUUGGGCAACCAUCAGGAGCAUUGUAGAGAGAAUUUCUACUUUGGGGAGUGUUGACUUUCGGGGCGCUGACUUUCCAAAUUGCAAAUUUGACCAUGUCUCUCUUCUGCCUGGCAGCAUCCCCGGAUCCCAGUUGCUACCAACACAGCCCGAGAGAGCUCCUCGUCAGGGAGGACAAGGCUCCCACAAUUUGCCGCUGACUGGCCACAUCCACAUUUUAGCCUGGGAGCUGUGGGCCACGCCCCUCACCUGGCCGUUUUCUGAACGCUUGGAGAAUUUCACACUCUUGGGCCUAUGCACACGCUCUGCAAAUCCUUUCACCUCUCUAGGCACUUGUUGCGUCUGCUGAGCUGUGACUACUCAUCCACAGACUGUGCCCCCCUUGAGAGCAGGGCCUAGUCGCGGUCACCAUCAUAACCUGCUAGACAUGACUGGAUUGGUGUUAAAUGGAGGAUGUACCAGGUGCAAUCCCACGGUCAGGGUGGAGACGUGCAAAUAACAACAUUCAUGAUGCAGAGACAGCCAGGGGCUGAGGUCAAGAACCAGGAUGAGGGGCUCUUUCCAUCAGCACCACACGGUCAGCGGGUGAUGUCAAGCAAGGAGGACCUGUCCAGGAAAAUACCUGCUUUUUAGCCUCGAGGGAGCCAAGAAAAAGUCACUGGAGUCCAGAAGCCACCAAGAAAGCCCGCCACAGAUGCCUCUGUCCCCUUCCCUCUUUGCCCCUCAGUGGAGGUGGUGAAGCUGCCCCUCUGGCUUCCUCUAGUUGGAAAUUCGCUAUGUGACAUCAGCUAGUGCUGCCACCUCUUCCGACCCUGAGCCUCCUAGGCUCCUUGCUCUGCACCCACAUUGUAAAAAAGGAGCCAGAAACUCAGGCCAGCCUAAUUUCUUAUGGCGGCUGGAGAAACAGGGUGUGCAGCUUUGUUUCUUCUGUGUGUCCCCUCUUCGUUCCUGGGCUCCACACACAGCGGGAGGAAGGAAAAGGGAGCCCGUUCCAGGGAGGUGCUGGGGGAGGGCUCUUGUGGGAGCCUGGAAACCCUUUCUUGACUCUUGACCAAAGUUACUUUUCUUCCUAUUUUUAUUAACACACAUCCCUACAUGUGUUUGUGUCCAGAGAAAGUACUAUGAAUAACUGAUGACAGAUUCGUUAACUUAUGAUUCAUCCUGGGGGAGAGAAAGAGGGAGAAAGGAGCAGGAGCUUUGGAGGCUGAAUAUAAAGUGUUGUCAAAUAUUUAGCAAAUGAUCUUCCAAGCCACAGGGAAAAAGUCAGAGAUGGGAAUUUGAAAGCUGCCAGGAUUUAAAAGCCAUUUAAUGCUAACCAUCAGUGCCAGAGAGCUGAGAGCGUUUCUCUUCCUCCUUCCAUUGGCAGCAACAGCUCCGAUAAUGUGGAAAGGCUUGGAUGGGCUGCGGAGCGCUGGUGGGAACUGAGACCAGGCAGCGGGGCUGAAAGACUUUUUGUUCAAGAAAGCUUGUAAAUAAGGGAGCGCCUCAGAAGUGGACUCUAUCUUGUCUACUGCCUGUACAUUCUCUCUUCCAAGAGAUCCCUGACCAUCAGCUCUCUACACAGAAGACUCUAGCCAGUCAUCUGGGUGUUUGAAAAUAAGUUUCAAAAUAUCCUGAUGUUUGGCAUCAAGGAAGAAAAAAAAAGAGCCAUAUGACUGACUGAAUUUGUCACUUUCCUUCCAAAUGUUUUGGUGUUACUUAGACAAUGGCUUCAGUCUUUGUCUAUCUGUCAUCCUAAAGGUUUGAGCUCAGAAAGGUCUCUCCUGAAGGGUUAGGAAUCCUACAUUUUUAGGGCUGGGGUCAGUACUCACUUCUAUAACCUGAUUCUUUGGAGAUAUAGUUAUUUUUAAGCAAAAGAUGAACAGGUCUUUCUUGAUAUUUUGGCUUGAAAACCUCAAGUCUGCAGUUAUGUCUCCUGAGUGUAAAUAUCCUAAGGCAAGAUAAAUUAAGGGAGAAGUGGCAGGGAAAUUUAGGUCAGUGGAAAUAAGCGUCCCGCACAACAGACACCUCCAGAUAGUUUGGUUACACUCGUAAGCUUGUCCAACCUGCCUUAUUUUGUUGUUGUUGUUUGGUUUGAUUUGGUUUGGUUUAGGCUUUUAGUAGCCUGAAGCCAUGGUUUUUAAUUUCUGUCCCUAGUGGUAAGUGGAAAAGAGGGAUGAGGAAGGGGCUUUAUUGGCCCAGUCAGAAACAGAAAUGGAGAACCCAUGACUCUAUUCUCUCCCUUAGACACCCCGUAAGGCAUUCUUCAAAGACAUAGUAUGAUGAGUUCAUGAGUAGCCAAUGCAAGUGAAUUUGGUGGAUUGAAUCAACGAAUCUAUUCACUGUGCCAAGAAUGAAUAGAUUGUCACGCCUUCAGGGAACUUAGAAUCUAUCUGCUUGGGAGGCAAGCAUUCCAUUAAUGAUGCGGAUAGUUAGCCUCUCAGUUCAGAAAAGAGAUCUCUGGACAGAGUGGUCCCAAGGAGGAGGACAGGAAUAAUCACAGCAAAACUGCCUUGCAGAAGGAGAAAACAGAAAGUAGCUCUUCUCCCUCAGUUUUUUUUUUCUUUCAUUGUGUUCCUGUUAUUUUGCUUCUCUGGAAUGUCUUUUCUCCUCCUCUCUACCUAUUCCAGUCUAACACUUCCCUGAGGCCCUCUUCAGCAAAUCCACAGAUUCAGUCUCUGGGAUUCCAAUCUUCACUCAUCUUACUUCCUACAAACUCUUACCAUUCACCUGGCAUGUGAUUUCAUCUGCGUAUUUGAAUCUGUAUGAAAAAAGAUUAAUCUUUUCUCCUCAGUUUAUAAUCGGUAAAUUCUUUUUGGCAGGUGUCAAAUCUUUUUUAUCUUUUUUUAGAGACAGGGUCUCACUCUGUGGCCCAGGCUGGAAUACAGUGGCAUCAUCACAGCUCACUGCAGCCUCAACUCCCAGGCUCAAGCAAUCCUCCCGCCUCAGCCUGCGAGUAGCUGGGACUACAGGUGUGUGCCACCACACAUGGCUAAUAUUUAAAACUGUUGUGGAGACAGGGUCUCGAACAAGAGACCAGCUCAAUCGAUCCAUCCACCUUGGCCUCCUAACGUGCGUGGAUUAAAGGCUUGAGACACCAUGCCUGGCGCAGAUACCAAAUCUUAAAAAAGUUCUGUGUUCCCCAGAGUUUCUAGCAGUGCUCAGUUGCUGGCCACUGGCUCUGUGGGUGCGCAGUGGCAUUGAUUAGUAGGUAGUAUACGAGUAGGCUGCUGGUGGUGCGUGAAAAUCUCGGUUAGGAUUGUGGAAGAAGACUGAAUUCUGGGUAAUCCCAGGGAUAUGCUGCAUAUCAGCACAUCCAGGCUACAAAACACAUGCUCUGAGCAGUUUCUGAUUCUGAAGUUCCCCUUCCCUUCUUAGUUCUGAUUGUUAAAGCAGAUGCAGAGUUCCGAAAAGUUGUAAAUUGAGUAAAAAAUUAAUUUACUGAGAAUGAAAGUGUAUCAGCAGUUCCACUCACAUAUUUUAAAAUGUCUAAGAAAGAAAAGAAAAAUAAAGGAAGAAGGAAAGGAGGGAAGGGAGGGAGGAAGAGUGAGAGGGAUGGAGGGAGGGAGGGGAGAAGGAAAAGGGGUAAAAAAGAAAGCCUGGGGGCUAGGGUGGGAAACACACAAGACUCAGUCUUCAAAUACUAUCAGCAAUUUCAUAAUAUGGUAAUUUUUAAUAUUAAAA
rnacentral:lncRNA from 1 species